rnacentral:rRNA from 1 species
AUUGAACGCUGGCGGCAGGCCUAACACAUGCAAGUCGAGCGAGCGGCGGACGGGUGAGUAAUGUAUGGGGACUGCCCGAUAGAGGGGGAUAACUACUGGAAACGGUGGCUAAUACCGCAUACUAUCGGAUAACCCAUAUGGGAUUAGCUAGGAGGUGGGGUAAAGGCUCACCUAGGCGACGAUCUAGAGCUGGUCUGGGAGGAUGAUAAGCCACACUGGGACGGAGACACGGCCAGGACUCAUACGGAGGCAGAAGUGGGGAAUAUUGCACAAUGGGCGAAAGCCUGAUGGAGACAUGCCGCGUGUAUGAAGAAGGCCUUAGGGUUGUAAAGUACUUUCAGCGGGAAGGCGGUACCCGCAGAAUAAGCACCGGCUAACUCCGUGCCAGCAGCCGCGGUAAUAC